rnacentral:rRNA from 1 species
UACGAAGGGGGCUAGCGUUGCUCGGAAUCACUGGGCGUAAAGCGCACGUAGGCGGCUUUCUAAGUCAGGGGUGAAAUCCUGGAGCUCAACUCCAGAACUGCCUUUGAUACUGGAGAGCUUGAGUCCGGAAGAGGUGAGUGGAACUCCGAGUGUAGAGGUGAAAUUCGUAGAUAUUCGGAAGAACACCAGUGGCGAAGGCGGCUCACUGGUCCGGUACUGACGCUGAGGUGCGAAAGCGUGGGGAGCA